CACAGGACUCUGGGGUUUUAUAGUUUUCUCACACCUCUGCUAUAGUCAAAUAGGAAGGAGUGGAGAUAACAAAUGGAAAAUUCUUAUUUUCUGUGUGAUUUUGCUUCAGGAAUAUGCCCAUUCAAACACCUGCCUACUGGCCACAGUGCUACAUGCACCCUUCCCUGCCUGCUUCUUCAGAGGUGCCAUGGGAGAGAGACCAUUCUCAGGCAUCAUUGCUUGGGCUCUAGACCCCUGGUCCAGGAAUGCAAAGAUAAAAGAGCUUGGAUUUUCCCAAAUGUAGUUCUACCUUCAGAGACUUCUUGCAAUAUGGAAUGCCAUCUGCCACUCUGUCCUGGAAGGCAUUUUAUGCUUCCUGUUCCAUCAGAGUCACUGUAAAUGUGACUUGUAAAAACACUAUCAUGAAAUCAUUGUGUUUUUCUUGGUUUAAAUGAUUUGUGUGUUGUGAUCGUUAAUGGCAAAUCAGUUUCAC
rnacentral:lncRNA from 1 species